UGAGACAACCAGAGCUGAAAGAAAAGA
rnacentral:piRNA from 1 species